rnacentral:pre_miRNA from 1 species
CCCAGUGUUCAGACUACCUGUUCAGGAGGCUAUCAAGGUGUACAGUAGUCUGCACAUUGGUUA